CUCCUGAUUUUUAUAGGGAAAUCAAAGCGAGGAGAAGGGCUGUGUGGCUGCUUAGCCACAUCUGCGACCAGCAAGGAACGCAAACCUUUCCUUCGCUCUCAGCAUAUAUGUUUUGUUUUCUGUUUCUGUUUAAAAAUGUGCUUCUUCAGGGUGAGAGGGAAGGAGAAACGCGCCCAGAAGCGGUGCCUUCCCUGAGGGCUCAGGGCGCGGGGAGGUCGGUACGGCAGCAGUGUCCGCCAGGCGGAGCUCACGGUGCUCCGUUGCGCUGCGAGCGGCCUCAUCUGGGCCGGGAACCCGACGGCGUCAAACGCCGCUUCUAAAAUCUCAAGUCUUCCCUUCGUACCAAACGCGAGGUGUGCCGGAGCGAAGGCCAGCUGGCAGCCACAAGCGGGAGCGCUCCCGUGGCGCCGUGCUUUUGGAAGCCUCGCUGAAGCUCUUGAUGGGCCGCUCAGUCACCGCGCUCGGCCGGCGUGAAUUCCCUCAGCAGAACGAGUUUGUAAGCAAAAGGCCCGGGGUUUCACUGUGGAGGAGAGGCCGCCCUUCUGAAAGCGGCCGCAGAGCUGCCCCCCGCCCGGGACAAAGCGGGACGGAGACCCGAAAAGGCCGAGGGAAUGAUGUGAACGACUUCCAUCACGACUGCGGGGUGAAUUGAGACGGACCCCCUGUCUGACACCUCUGUUCUGCUCUGUGCCUGUUGCUGUGCCAGCGUUCAACACUGCCUCCAGUCUGACCGGUUCCCAUUUCGCUGAGGCGUGAGGCUGUAACAUCUGUAACGCGGGGACUGUGGGCACCUUUCUUCUUGCUCAAAUUAAUGAAUACUGAGCAGACAGAGCCCUUUUAUCACAGCUGUGCUCUUAUCAGACCAUCUCCUCUAUUCCUUCCUUCCCCAGCCAUUGUGGAAGCAGACAUCCUGCCCAAGGCAUCCAAACCCACAAUCUGCCGCUUCUUCUACCGAGCCUCUGGAUUUUUGCCAGCAGCCCCUUGAGAGGGUCCCAGAUGUGACUGCUGCUUCUGUGCUGCCCUGAACGUAUCCGGUGAAAACAAAGGGCCGCACUCAGCACGGUUGCCGCUUCGGAGGCCAACACUUCCUCCUCUGUCAGGGCUGUACAGUGGGAGACGGUGGUGCUGAGGCACCCCAGGAAAUACCCUGGCCAAGCAGAUUGACAGGCAGAUUUUCCUUAACAAAACAUGCGACGUCAACAGCAACCAGAAACGCAUCUCCCUCUGCAAGCAAGUGUCCUGAAAUAAAGGGCCAAAGGAACAUCAGCCCAAUGUAUGAUGAAAACUCUUGUAGGAGAAGAUACAACAGUAGGAUGAUAGCUGAUGAUAACACCUCAAUAGCUGCUCCAUCAAGAAGGAUAUGAGUAUAUUCAAGCCAUUUGCAAACAUUGUGGUGCAAAAAGCCAGUCCAUCAUAAUUCCACGUGGCAGGGGCUGGACUCCUAUCUUGUCAGAAGGAAGGCUGGGACUCCCCGGGUGUUCUGAGCAACACUAAAAUGCCACGAGGUGACCUCUUGUGCCUACUGUGUGAGCCUAUAGCACAUCUCAUCUCCUAAGAAGUUUUCUUGAUUGGGAGCUGAGGAUGUCACAUAGCUGUGUGACAGCCAGUAGCUCUUGCUGGUAUGGUGCUGCUGUGAAGUCUUCCAUCUGUGAACCUGGAGUUGUGUAGCUGUGCAUGAGCCUGGGUACUUAUAGAUGUGAGUCCUUGAGGCACAUAAAGGAAGCCGGAGCUGGCUGCAGAGAUUUUUCUGUGCACAGUAUGAAAAAUUUAUGCUGAUACUUUUGGCAAGUUUGGGUAAUUAGACUGUGAAAGGAAACACAAUAGAGAUAUUUGGCAGUUGACUGCCUUUACAGAAAGUUUAUCUUUCCAAGAGCAGGGAGAACAUUUCGAGGAAUGGCUGUGCACAUAAGCAGCAGUGUACUGCAGUGUUGUGUCUGAGAGCGUAUCGUGCAGAAAGGGAGCAGGAGCACCUUGCCCUGAAGUUUCUGCCUGCAGGACCUGGCCUGCCUGGCAUGUUGGUGCUGUGCUGGAUGCAGCAUUCGCGAAACAAAAGCAGUGGGCAGCCCCUGGGCUUGAUCGAUGCAAGCCAGGCCUUUGUGUAUCGUCAUAAGGAAGCGC
rnacentral:lncRNA from 1 species